rnacentral:rRNA from 1 species
AUUGAACGCUGGCGGCAGGCCUAACACAUGCAAGUCGAGCGAGCGGCGGACGGGUGAGUAAUGUAUGGGAAACUGCCCGAUGGAGGGGGAUAACUACUGGAAACGGUAGCUAAUACCGCAUACUAUCGGAUGUACCCAUAUGGGAUUAGCUAGUAGGUGGGGUAAUGGCUCACCUAGGCGACGAUCCCUAGCUGGUCUGAGAGGAUGACCAGCCACACUGGAACUGAGACACGGCCCAGACUCCUACGGGAGGCAGCAGUGGGGAAUAUUGCACAAUGGGCGCAAGCCUGAUGCAGCCAUGCCGCGUGUAUGAAGAAGGCCCUCGGGUUGUAAAGCACUUUCAGUCGGGAGGCGUUACCCGCAGAAGAAGCACCGGCUAACUCCGUGCCAGCAGCCGCGGUAAUUC